AGAAGAGAAAUGAGGCAAUGUGCCCACUAAAGGGUAGGAUUAAAAGGCAGCUAGCUAAUAAACAUAAACACAGUUGAAGGAAAUUUAGUUACUAACUGAAAGGUGAAAAUAAAUAGAAAUAGGUAGAAAUAUCAACAUGGGGAUUUUACUGAAUAACAUGAUCAGUCAUUUGUGGUGUUUUUUGUAACGCUGACUCAUCAUGUUAUUAAACCUAAAGGUCGUUUUGUCCUCUAAGAAAAUCUCUGAAAGGAAUGGCACUUUCUAAUAUCCACUGUCAUUGGCUGGAUUGCUGGUCAACUUCAAAGCUAUUAGAGCAGCACAAGGUCAGUGGUUGUAAAACAGCUUGUUUUCUGGUGGUAGAGUCAAUGGACCGAGGAGAAGGUAGAGGACGAGUACCUACUUGGUUCAACUCGACUCUACUCAGUUUUGAGCGUCUUCCAUUACUGUCGAGUACCACCGCUAUGUACUUGGGGUCGUUACAGCAAUGUGGCCGAAAGUCCCGUGACAUCAUUUGUAUGUGACACAAUGCAACAAUGGAGGAAAUGGAGGUGAUGGUAUACCUGCUGCAUAACCAAUGCUGAGCUGAAUGAAAGAGUGGCACAGACAGGAAGGGCAGCAAAGAGGGAGGGACCUGACGCAGCCCGAGGCUACAGUCUGCAGACAGUAUGUGGACUUUUAAAUGGAGUGGGCUGAUAUGGCAUUUAAACAUGUCUGUCGCAGCAAACUCCAUUUCCUCAUGUGGGCAGGUUGUCGUCUGGAAGGAAAUCAAACUCAUUUCUGAAGGGCAAACAUGGUAUGUACUGUGACAAGGAUCCCUGCAUUGGUUUGCUUAUGAAGAAAUAUAUGUGCUAAAGCAGAUGGGCUUGAAAAAAAGAUAAAUAAAGAUAAAUAAAUUUUUACCUUUUCUUUUAACAACUACUGCAGAACUGCCUUCUCCAAUUAUACUUCUGUCUAAAAUACCAGAGAGCCCAAACUAUUACUAAUGGACUUUGUCAGAAAGUCACAAGCAAUGAAGGCGAGAACAAGGCACCCUCCACUAAUCGCAUAUUUUUGAGCACUGUAUACAACAUAAUCAUGUUUUUCAGUUGUUAUUUGUCCAGUACCCUCAGACGAGUAUCAUAAAUCAGAUGGCACGGAGUACUCGGUCUUAAAGUCACAUGAUUGCCGUUCAAAAGCAGAGAGUGGAGUAAUUGUCCAGAUGUUUCAUAGUUCUGACCCUCUUUUAACAUGAUACAGCUGUAUACAGCUUUGCUGAUUGACUGACUAAUUCACCCAACAAAAACCUCCUGGCAAUAUGUUUGCAAUCAAAAUGUAUAAUCUUUUCAAUAUGGCGAGGAACGGUUCUCGGAUAAGUGAUGUUUUAAGCGAUUUCCCAUAAGUUUGCAUUUGGCCUAAAGACAAAAAAGAUCGGCCGUUAAGUGUUUACUUGAUGGUUUAUGGCCAGUUUCCUGCAAAUGACAUUCCACUCAGGCUCAGUGGUAACUUUAUGUUAAUGUUAAUUAGUAAAUGCUAAGCCAUGCUGAUUUGAAUUACAGUAAUGAAGGGUGGACUGCAUCAAUUAGAUUGUCACCACAGAUUUUUUAAAUAAAUGUCAUAUGAUGUAUUUUCUGAACAGCCUGUGUUUGAAGCAGGGUGUAGAUCAAUAUUUAGAUAAAUAUUAUAUUUCAAAUCUGUGAGAAAAUGAGCAUGCAAAGCAUAUGCAUGUGUUUUUUUACUGCAGCACCAUGUGUAACACUUGUACUUUAUCCUGUCACCCUGCAGUUUCCUGCUUCCCAAUGCCCACAGUUUCACACGCUAAGUUCCCACCAUCCAGUCGUGUCUUUCCCACUACCCCUUUUCCUUCCCGCCAUCCAAAUGCCCUGUAUCCAUUUACUGCCCCUUUACACACCUAAAUCCCUCUACUCCCCUCUCACCCCUUCAGCCCACUUCUUUUUUCUUUCUCUCCGUGAAAGAGCACACUUCUUUUUUAACCUGUUUUCCCAUCUUUGUUCCUCUCCUCCUGGCGCUCUUCUAUCCCACUUCUCCUCUCCCUGACACUGUAUCUCCCUUCUGCCCUCCUGUUCAACCAUGAAAUCCGUGUCCAGCUGAGUUGUUCUGGGAGCCAGUGUUACCAGAUGGCAUCAGGCAGAACCCAAACAUCUGUGUUACCCAACUCGGCCCGAACCAGACUCCGAAGGAUACGCAGCUGUAUAAACAGCGUGUGUGUAAAAAUGCAAGCUAUGCGGCCAAGCAAAGGGGUCCUCACCAGGUCGCUAUGAAAAGAAAUAUUAUUAAUAAUGAUAAUAAUGACAGAGGAAAUACCUAAGGUCGAGACGUGACUUUGUGUUUGUGUGACAGUGGGGCAUGGGAAAGAUACAACACAAAACCCCGGGGCCAAGAUUAGAUAGUUUGCGAGGUUUAGUAGAUUAAAAACAUAUUGGACUGUAAUUACAGACAUCACCACAAACAAUACUUAAAAUACAUGAUAUAUUCUCAUGUCUGCAACUCUGUAUGUAAGGUUAGUUUAGGUUAGAAAAGCAGUAAAACCACAAAUUUUCAUAGUUAAUGUUAAAGUAUUGUUUUUCCUAAGCACAGAGGUUUCUUGCAUGACAUCGUGCAUACAUUGCUGAACAGUUGUCUGCCAUAUUAGACGUGAUGCAAACACUAGUCACGGGAGAAAGAUGUAUAUUCCCAGUAUGGUCGGACAGUUGUUUCUGGUUAGCUGCUGGAAGUUGUUAGAUUAAAUGAGCAACUUCCACCGAAAACCUCCUUCUGAUGUCCGGUAGAUUGCCA
ensembl:lncRNA